rnacentral:rRNA from 1 species
AAGACCUUGCGCUUUUGGAGCGGCCGAUGCCUGAUUAGCUUGUUGGUAAGGUAAAAGCUUACCAAGGCUUCGAUCAGUAGCUGGUCUGAGAGGACGACCAGCCACACUGGGACUGAGACACGGCCCAGACUCCUACGGGAGGCAGCAGUGGGGAAUUUUGGACAAUGGGGGCAACCCUGAUCCAGCCAUGCCGCGUAAGUGAAGAAGGCCUUCGGGUUGUAAAGCUCUUUCAGCCGGAACGAAACGGUUACGGAUAACACCCGUGACUACUGACGGUACCGGAAGAAGAAGCACCGGCUAACUACGUGCCAGCAGCCGCGGUAAUACGUAGGGUGCGAGCGUUAAUCGGAAUUACUGGGCGUAAAGCGUGCGCAGGUGGUUUUGUAAGUCAGAUGUGAAAGCCCCGGGCUCAACCUGGGAACU